UGAAUGAGACGGUGACAGAGGAAGCACUCGAGCAGGAAGAGAUGAACGUGGAUCCUGCAUCCCACAGUCCUCCAGCAUCCAGCCUGGAUUCGGUUUCGUCAGCGGGUGAAGCUGAAUCUUCGCUGAACUUUGCAGAUGGAAAUUUAAAGACGACGUCGAUGUCGUCACACGUUUCUCUGAGGACGACAACUCCCAGCGAGUCAUCGGAGGAAGGUUUAGUUGUCACCACUUCAUCACUGACGUCAGCAAAAUCACCAAACGGCCCAAAGGCAGAAAAAACCACGACGGCGACGCCAGAAUCAUCUGAGGAAGACGGG